AAUAUUGGGACAUAUAAAAAAAGACAACUCUGUUCCGCAGAGUAGCUGUUGACAUUAUAGGUGUGCAGGCACUUUGUUGACUCUAGAGAACCUUGGGCCAAUCGCACAUCCCCGUGGCGGCGACUUUGCAUGCGGAUGUCAUCCUUAUCAACUUCAGAUGCCAGUUUCUGUGCCUACCAUGGUGACCACGGGUAACGGGGAAUCAUGGUUCCAUUCCGUACAGGGACCCUGAGAAAUGGCUACCGCAUGCAAAGAAGGCAGCAGGCACGCAAAUGACCCACUCCCGACGCGGGAAGGUAGUGA